rnacentral:lncRNA from 1 species
CACACACUGCCUCUAGCUCUUGAAUUCCUCCAAUCACAGCAAGUCUGGGCUGCAGCCCUCCUGCCUCUUUAAGGUGACUUGGCAUUUCUCUGUGUGGAUCCAUUUUUGCAUGCUUUAUGGUUUAACUGGCAGAGGGAUGUCUUAUUUCCUGAUCUCCGAGCUGUCUCAGGCAGUCUCUGCCAACACCCCAUGGCACACCAUGGGUGCCCUCAGACCUUGUCCACAGCAAUCAGCACCUACGCCCUCUCCCACUGCCUGGCUGCUUUCAGAUGUCACCCUUAGGUUUUACCCCAUCCCAUCACCUGCAAGGCUCUGGAAUUCUUUGAAAUAUUUUAAAACAUUUUUAUUACAAUGAGAAUGCAUGUUUAUUACAGAAGAAAAAUUGAAAAUGUGGGUGACAGAAAAAACUCAGAUGCCUCAGUACAGGCUGAAUUGCACCUUCCCACCUCCCCUCUAAUUCAUAUGUUGAAGUCCUAACUCCCAGUGCCUCAGAAUGUGACUAUAUCUGGAGAUGGGGGUCAGUAAAGAGGUAACUAAACUCAAAUGAGGUCAUCAGGGCGGGCCCUAAUCCAGUGUGACUGGUGUCCUUAUAAGAAGAGACUAGGACAUAGAUUUAGACAGAGCGAAGAUUAUGCGAAGAAAGAAGGAAAAGGCGGCUGUCUCCAAGACAAAGAGAGAGGCCUCACGGGACGCCAACCCUGCUGACACCUUGAGCUUGGACUUCCAGCCUCCAGAACUGUGAGACAGUAAAUUUCUGUUGUUUAAGCCCCCUAGUCUGUGGUACUUUGUCAUGGCAGACCUAGCAUGCUAAUAUACCCCUCAAACUAGCCACAGCCCAAAGGGGAAUUUGUUUGAUGGAUCAUACACUGCAGGAACAACUGAGGUGCAGCUGGGCCACGUGAAACAACUGGAAUCAGGGAUUUGAAAGCCACUAGGAGCUCACCUCUAUCUUCCAUCUCUGCUUCUCUGACUUUGUCCUCCCAGAACCAGCUUCCUGUACAUGGCAGGGAAUGGCUCCCCCAUUUGCAACUUAAAGCUUCAUCACCUAGGAGGGACUGGCCUUUUGUCCCACUGCUAGUUUACAAAAUCCUAAAGAAGGAUUUUGAUUGGCUGGCCUACGUCAUUGCCCAGCCCAAGACCAAUAAUAGACACAGCAGCUAAUUUGUUCAGCAACUACUCUGUGCAAAGCACUCCAUUCAUUCUACUAAAUAAUUUGCUAAACAUGUGGGGUUAUUAUCAUUAUGAUUACACCUUUACAGAUGAGGAAGCUGAGUCAUGAAGUAGUCAGGGAACUUGUCCCAGGGCACACAGGGUGUGAGCAAUGUCCCUGAGUCCAAUGUGGGGUGGCCAAUGAGUGCAGCUAGCAGGUCCUGUUUUUUGUUUUUUGUUUUGUUUGUUUGUUGUUGUUUUUUGUUUAUUUAUUUAUUUAUUUAUUUUGAGACAGGGUCUCCUUCUGUCUCAUCCAGGCUGGAGAGCAGUGGUGCAAUCAUGGUUCAACCUCCCAGGCUCAAGUGAUCCUCCCACCUCAGUGUCCUGAGUAGCUGGGACUAUAGGCGCAUGCCACCACACCUGCUAAUUUUUUGUAUUUUUAGUAGAGAUGGAGUUCACCACAUUGCCCAGACUGGUCUUGAACUUCUGGGCUCAAGGGAUCCUCCCACCUUGGCCUGCCCAGCCUAGCAAGUCCUUUCUAAACCAAUGAGUCAGUGCCAGUCUCCCAUAGUCCCUGUAAAUCUUGCCACACCCUUCAAGUAUCAUCCACUAUGCAGCCACCUUGCUGGACAAAGGGUGCCCUCUGAGAUCCUGAGAAAAGGCCACAAUGACUUCUGGCUGGCAACUCCAUCAUGCCUUUUAUUCAAAGGCUGCAGUGGCUAAUACAAAGAGAGGCCAGCAGGGUAGUAAACAAUCCCUAAAUUGAGAGCCUGGGAACUCAGAGAGCCUGACCAGCAUCUUGCCCUAAGCAGUCCUGCCCUGUGCUCCAACCUAAUGGGAUCUCUGAAUUCUCCUUGGGCUUUCCAGGCAGCAGAGGAACUUGGCAGGCAGUCUGUAGGUUUGAGGCAAGCCUGUCUUCUGUACAAAUACCAAAUACCAGAACCUGCUAAUCCCUAAUGGAGUGAAGACAGCUACGUGGGUGUGAUAAUGCCAGGAAAACCUGGGCAACUCCUGCAACUCUGAGGUCAGCUAGGCCUCUCUGGCCCUACCAGAUCCAGCUAAGAGGACUGCAGACCCAUAAGGCCACAGUGAAGUUCAAGUUCCAUACCCUCCAAAGAUUUCUGCAAAUUCCCAGCCCUUAGCCUCCUCCUAGUCCCCUCUGCCCUGGGAAUCCAGAGUGGUGUCCCCUUUACCCACUCAGCUGCCCAGAUGUAAACUAUCAACCCUUUCACUGAUUUGCACAGAAAAAUCCACUCUACCCAGGCACAGCUCUUCCCUGACAUAGCAUUCUCAAUUUACCUCCCACAGAAAGGGCAGAAGGCAAAGGGGUGUUUUGCAAAAAAGGCCUCUGCCAUUUAUUUCAGUUGGGAACAUUUAAUCCAUUCCAGUACUCCAAAAGACAGUCCAAUUUUUCACAUAAAUAAAAUCCUUAUAAGAAAAAUCUCUAGUUAUAUAUGAGGUGAAAAGUACAGAUUUCUUAUUUUAAACACCAGUCAGUUAUUUCAGUAACCGAAGCAGCACCAAAAACAUUCUGAAUCAAAGUUUCUCAUGCACUGUGAGUUUCUCCAGCAAAGUCCAGCAUUCAGGCACCUUCUCUUUAAAGGCAAAACACAGCAAAGGAACAAAAACAAAAAAACAACCACCACCAAAGAUGCUAUUAUGGGGCCUCUCCUGAGUGUAGAAGUGAAAGACGAAGUUCCGUGAAUCACAAUGGCCAACUUUUGUAACUUGCCUGUCAGGGUUUGCUGAGAAAAACCAAGAGGGCAAGAUAUAGGAAUGGGAAGAACAGCUUCCCCACAAUGGCUGGCACUUACCUGGGCCAGGCAUGGUGCUCAGCCUUGUUUUAAAAUUUAAUUCUAUUUCUAUCAAACUUAAUACAUACACGUUUUAAAAAGUCAAAUACUACUAUAAGGCUAGUAAAAAAAUGUAGUGUUCCCCUCCCCAUACCUUCCCCACCCCAAGUCCCAAUUCAGCAAAUACUUUUCAUAUUUACCUCCACUUUUCUGAGUAAAAGACAUACUAUUGAAUCCUGACUUUUCCAUUUUAGACAUAAUCUCCUGCCUUCCUGCUAUGGUUGCUGAGGGUUUUAGAAAGGAUACCUUUACCUCAUCUACUUUCCCUUCUACAUCCUCCCCAUGUAAUCAUGUCACAGGUUUUGUUAAAUCAUUAUUCAAUGAACAUGUUAUUCUCAUUAAGUAAACAUUGUUCAAGCUGCUCCAG